GGAAGACCAAGGGUUCCUGUCCAACGUUAAUCGGGGCAGGGUGAGUCGACCCCUAAGGCGAGGCCGAAAGGCGUAGUCGAUGGGAAACAGGUUAAUAUUCCUGUACUUGGUGUUACUGCGAAGGGGGGACGGAGAAGGCUAUGUUGGCCGGGCGACGGUUGUCCCGGUUUAAGCGUGUAGGCUGGUUUUCCAGGCAAAUCCGGAAAAUCAAGGCUGAGGCGUGAUGACGAGGCACUACGGUGCUGAAGCGACAAAUGCCCUGCUUCCAGGAAAAGCCUCUAAGCAUCAGGUAACAUCAAAUCGUACCCCAAACCGACACAGGUGGUCAGGUAGAGAAUACCAAGGCGCUUGAGAGAACUCGGGUGAAGGAACUAGGCAAAAUGGUGCCGUAACUUCGGGAGAAGGCACGCUGAUAUGUAGGUGAAGCGACUUGCUCGUGGAGCUGAAAUCAGUCGAAGAUACCAGCUGGCUGCAACUGUUUAUUAAAAACACAGCACUGUGCAAACACGAAAGUGGACGUAUACGGUGUGACGCCUGCCCGGUGCCGGAAGGUUAAUUGAUGGGGUUAGCGGUAACGCGAAGCUCUUGAUCGAAGCCCCGGUAAACGGCGGCCGUAACUAUAACGGUCCUAAGGUAGCGAAAUUCCUUGUCGGGUAAGUUCCGACCUGCACGAAUGGCGUAAUGAUGGCCAGGCUGUCUCCACCCGAGACUCAGUGAAAUUGAACUCGCUGUGAAGAUGCAGUGUACCCGCGGCAAGACGGAAAGACCCCGUGAACCUUUACUAUAGCUUGACACUGAACAUUGAGCCUUGAUGUGUAGGAUAGGUGGGAGGCUUUGAAGUGUGGACGCCAGUCUGCAUGGAGCCGACCUUGAAAUACCACCCUUUAAUGUUUGAUGUUCUAACGUGGGCCCCUUACCGGGGUUGCGGACAGUGUCUGGUGGGUAGUUUGACUGGGGCGGUCUCCUCCUAAAGAGUAACGGAGGAGCACGAAGGUUGGCUAAUCCUGGUCGGACAUCAGGAGGUUAGUGCAAUGGCAUAAGCCAGCUUGACUGCGAGCGUGACGGCGCGAGCAGGUGCGAAAGCAGGUCAUAGUGAUCCGGUGGUUCUGAAUGGAAGGGCCAUCGCUCAACGGAUAAAAGGUACUCCGGGGAUAACAGGCUGAUACCGCCCAAGAGUUCAUAUCGACGGCGGUGUUUGGCACCUCGAUGUCGGCUCAUCACAUCCUGGGGCUGAAGUAGGUCCCAAGGGUAUGGCUGUUCGCCAUUUAAAGUGGUACGCGAGCUGGGUUUAGAACGUCGUGAGACAGUUCGGUCCCUAUCUGCCGUGGGCGCUGGAGAACUGAGGGGGGCUGCUCCUAGUACGAGAGGACCGGAGUGGACGCAUCACUGGUGUUCGGGUUGUCAUGCCAAUGGCACUGCCCGGUAGCUAAAUGCGGAAGAGAUAAGUGCUGAAAGCAUCUAAGCACGAAACUUGCCCCGAGAUGAGUUCUCCCUGACUCCUUGAGAGUCCUGAAGGAACGUUGAAGACGACGACGUUGAUAGGCCGGGUGUGUAAGCGCAGCGAUGCGUUGAGCUAACCGGUACUAAUGAACCGUGAGGCUUAACCUUACAACGCCGAAG
rnacentral:rRNA from 1 species